rnacentral:lncRNA from 1 species
AAAUUCAGGUUACAAGUUACAACAACAACAAUAUACCCGGUGUAAUCCCAAUGGUGCACAAACCUUAUCCCUACCUUCGAAGGUAGAGAGGCUGUUUCCAAUAGACUGCAUUUCAGGUUAGUAAUGGAAAUUUCUCUGAUAUUUAAGUGCAGUGACUAAUAACCUCAUAAAACAUCUGUGAAAUCUUAAGUGCCUGGAAAGACCAGAUGUUUUCCUUUGACUACGAGAUGUUGUCUCUAAACAAACAGGCAGAUAUGCAGAAGUCACUUAACGGAUUCACUUUCUCUACUUUCAUAUGGUAUAUCAUGUAAUACAUGGUGAAAUGAAAUUCAAAUAUACGAAAACUCACAAUCAUCUAUAUCUUUACAUAGUACUAAUACCAACACCAUCCAUGUAAAUUAAUUUUCCUACAAGUUGUUAUAGGAAGAUCCAACCUUUCAUCAUCAUGAUCAUCUGUAUCUGAACUAUUGGAAACACUUAGCUGAGCAGAUUUUAGCACAAUGGGCAUGGCAAGACUUAGAUAAGGAAGGAAAUCUUCCCCCAAGCAUUUACAUAGUCUACCAUAUGCCUGUCAUAGAAUCAAGUGUAAAUUAGCCAAAAACUGAAAAGAAAAUGGAAGUUGCGCAAAAUUCUAAGUUGUAUCAACAUACCAGUAACGAUAAUUUCCUCGUUGGAUCUUCUAUCUCUGUUUGAGUUUCUUGCAGUGAAAUGAGUACUGCAAUGACCUAAAAUGGGACAUCACAUGAGGUAAAUGCAUUUUCAGAUAUGUUGAUAGUUUCACAUUUACAUAAUGCCUGCUAAGUGCUAAUGGAAAGAUAUAAAUUGUAUUGACCUUUUCAACAUAAUCACGGAUUGCUUGAUUUCCAAAAGCCAUUGUAACCCUGGUAAUGCAUUCUAUGGAUUUGGCAAGUAGCGUGCGACUUGUAUCUUUAGUAGCAGUUUCCAAGAUGACUUUCAGAUAAGGCAUUAUAGAAUCAUAUAUGUAAGCAGAGUCUUGCUGCAGUAUCCCAGGAAAAUGAAGUUUAGAGGCUAAAGUUUCAAGAGAUUUAAACAAAAGAAGUUCUUUUUGAACAGCUGAAAGCAAAGUACCUGCGAUGAAGUAGCUAAAGAGGCUAAAGUUUCAAGAGCUGCUUCUUUCAUCAUUGUCAUUCCUCUCUAGAAUAUACAGCAAGUCAAAAACUUAUGUCAUUUAGGUCUUAGGACGAAUGAGUAUGUUGUAGAUUGGUAAAGGUGACAUUACCUGUAGAAACCCGACUAAUUUAUUCACUAUCUUGUGCAGGUAAGGUUUCAAGUCAUCUGCACUGCAAUUGUGACUGAACAACCAUAUCACUGAAGCUGCACGUGUCUAUACACGAGAGAGAAUAUCAGUCGUCAACUAUAUGUGCUUGCAGUGGACAUGUCAAGAGUUCAGAUGCUCAAAAGC